rnacentral:rRNA from 1 species
CAAUAGCGUAUAUUAAAGUUGUUGCGGUUAAAAAGCUCGUAGUUGGAUUUCUGCCGAGGACGACCGGUCCGCCCUCUGGGUGAGUAUCUGGCUCGGCCUGGGCAUCUUCUUGGAGAACGUAGCUGCACUUGACUGUGUGGUGCGGUAUCCAGGACUUUUACUUUGAGGAAAUCAGAGUGUUCACGGCAGGCAAGCGCCUUGAAUACAUUAGCAUGGAAUAAUAAUAUAGGACUUUGGUUUUAUUUUGUUGGUUUCUAGAACUAAAGUAAUGAUUAAUAGGGAUAAUUGGGGGCAUUUGUAUUAACGCGUCAGAGGUGGAAUUCUUGGAUUGCGUUACGACAAACUACUGCGAAAGCAUUUGCCAAGGAUGUUUUCAUUGAUCAAGAACGAAAGUAUGGGGAUCGAAGACGAUCAGAUACCAU